rnacentral:rRNA from 1 species
CAUUUUUUCUUGUUAUAAAAUAAGAAGUAGGCCCUGCCCAGUGUGUUAAUAAACGGCGGCCUUAGCGUGAGGGUCUUAAGGUAGCGUGACAAGUCGGCCUUUAAUUGGGGUCUGGUAUGAAAGGGUUAACGUUGGAUAAGCUGUGUCGUAAAAAGGUUUUGAAAUUAACUUUAAAGUGAAGAUGCUUUAAUAAAAAAAAAAGACGACAAGACCCUAUGAAGCUUUAUCUUAAAUUUAUGCUUAACUAAUUUUUGUAUAAUAAUAAUGAUUUUGUUGGGAGAACAAGACUGAGAUGUACUGUCUAAAUAAACUUACUGACUAGUAAAAAUUUAUGUUUGUGUUAUAAGGCAAGCUACUCUAGGGAUAACAGCACAAUUUUUUUUGCGAGCACUAAUCUAAAAAAAAGUUUGUGACCUCGAUGUUGGCUUUAGGUUACCUGAAGGUGUAGAGGCUUUCAAUGGUGGGUCUGUUCGACCUUUAAUUCCUAACGUG